rnacentral:rRNA from 1 species
UUGCGGUUAAAAAGCUCGUAGUUGGAUUUCUGUUGAGGUCGACCGGUGUACACUUCGUGUAUUAUUUGGUUCGGUCUCGGCAUCCUCUUGGGGAACGUUUCUGGACUUUAUUGGACAGGGCGAGAUUCAAGACUUUUACUUUGAGGAAAUUAGAGUGUUCACGGCAAGCAAGUGCUUUGAAUACAUUAGCAUGGAAUAAUAAUAUAGGACCUUCGUUCUAUUCUGUUGGUUUCUAGAACUUAGGUAAUGAUUAAUAGGGACAAUUGGGGGCAUUCGUAUUAACGCGUCAGAGGUGGAAUUCUUGGAUUGCGUUACGACGAACUACUGCGAAAGCAUUUGCCAAAGAUGUUUUCAUUGAUCAAGAACGAAAGUAUGGGGAUCGAAGACGCUUAGAUACCGUCGUAGUCUAUACCAUAAACUAUGCCAACUAGAGAUUGGAGGGGUUCUCCUAUGUGGCUCCUUCAGCAUCUUAUGAGAAAUCAAAGUUUUUGGGUUCCGGGGGGAGUAUGGUCGCAAGGCUGAAACUUAAAGGAAUUGACGGAAGGGCACCACCAGGAGUGGAGCCUGCGGCUUAAUUUGACUCAACACGGGAAAACUUACCAGGUCCAGACAUAGUAAGGAUUGACAGAUUGAUAGCUCUU